rnacentral:lncRNA from 1 species
ACAAAAGCAAAUUUAAAAUUAAAAAAUUAAAGGAAAGAAUGAAUUGACGACAGCAAAAAAAUAAAAUAAUUUUUAAAAAAAAGAAAGAACAAAUAUAAAAGAAAAAUGAAAGAAUAAUAAUAAUAAAAAAAAAGAAAACAAAAAAUUAGAAAAGUAAAUUUUCUCUCACUUGUGUGUUCACCUUAUCAAGGUGCUCACAGCACCUCUCCUCUCUCAUCUCUCCUCCAAGUGCAUCCCAAAGUUAAC